AUUUUCUUCACAGCUGUUUUUGAUAAGCAAAACAAAACUUCUUCAAUACUGUUGAUGGAGUUGAAGUAUGUCUUCUUUGCAUUAUUUCUUGCUGGUUUUUCUCCUUAUGAAGGCGAUGCCCAGAGCCAAAAAGGUAAGCAACCCGCAUAUAAUGCCUGAUGGACUGCUGGCGAGUGGACGAACGAGGUGGGGCUCGGGAUAUGGAUACCACUCGCAAAUAUUUCCGCAAUCAGCUUUAUGUUACAAAUAGUUUUGUUAAUUAUGAUUAUGAAACAGAUAU